GUCGGCGCGGGCAGUUAGCCAGCUAGCUAGCACACCAGUUAGCACACGGAGCGGGCCGCAUGUGGCUGCUCACACACUCGACCAACGUCUGAUAUUUACACAUCAUUUCUGCCCUAAACACCAACCAAAGGCCACCUACGACUACAUAGUCACCUUAACUUUGACAAAGUGUAAGAAAAUGACAGUUAUGUAGGGACAGAAUGUGAAUUUUAAGCGUUUUUAAGAAGAGAGCUCGAUGGAAACACACCGUAUGCGACAAAUGGCCGACAGGGAAAGGAAGAGAAGGCGACCCGGAAGGAGAAUAACUCUUUCUAGUGUUUACGUCGCCACCAUGAAUUGUUGCCCCCUGUUGGAUGUUGGUAUCUUCAAAUCGAUCUAUGCUGCCAUUGGAACCUGACUCCUGCUACCGCUUCACUCCUGCCAUCCACCGGAGCAGACAGCCACCCCCACUGGACCCCCCACCACUAGCCGGCCUACUGUGUUCCUCUGACGGACCCGCUCCUUCCCAGAAAGCACCGACCCGUUCUCCAUCCUGGAAACUUUGACGUGCUUUUCCCCCCUCAGAAACCUGGACUCGAUACUUUAAAUAAAACCUGUUAAUUCACA